GCUCUAAUGCAAUUAUUUUUCUAGGUUUGAAUGUCAUUGUGUGGAGAGGGCAGGAGUGAAUUAGGGCCCCGGGGAGCGCGGACGCGGGGCUAGGAAUCGGCCUGAAAUACGAGCCCAACCUGUUUUGUGAGAUGCACUUGGGUUUGGAGGUCGGGGUCGAGGGCUUCAAAGUCCUGGGUGUGCACGUGUGAAAAUCUCUCUUGUCUCUGUCUGGGUCUCUAUCCACCCCCCCCCAUCUUCCCCUCCCUCCUCCUUCCUUCAUUCUUCCUUCUUUCCUCUAGGCUUUCUCUUCCCCUUUCUCCUCAUCUCUCCCAGGGUUAAUGUGAAUUUCCUUUUCUCCUCCUCUGUUUUGUGUCUUUACAUAUUUCAGGCAGAUCCAUUAGGUCCAGAGUAUUUCUCCAAAACACAGUCACACAGAAGUAGGCUCUUGGUCGGUGUCAACCAUUCACCGUGGAAAUCCAAUAGAAUUGGGAUGUUUUAAGAUCUUGAUGACAUGCUGUAAUAUAUCAGUGGGAUUAUUUCUAGCCAAAUACAGAGCCAGUCCAGGUCACUAUCCAAAAGUAACCCCAUCUUUGCUCUACCACAAAUUGUCAUGCGUGGUAGUUUUUAUUUGGAAUUAUCCACACUCUUCUUAGCUCUCUACAUCACUUUGCCUGGUAAACACAGCAUCAGACAAAAAGGAACUUUAAAAAAAUAAAAAUAACAUGAUUCGUAAUUUCCAUUUUUACAGAAAACAAACUGAAUCAGUGGAAGGAAAGCCUCGAACUUUCACCUGAAGGAUGGGUUUGAGAGCAUGCAGACCUGCAGGCCAAGGGAAACUGUUGUCUUUCCAACUCCAUCUUUAGGCACACAUGGUCAGCUGAGUGGCAUCAUUAAUAGAAGGAUCUAUUUUAGAAGCUCUACUUCUGGAAGUAGAAUAAAAAGGAGGUGUAACCCAGAGUUGAAGAUACCCACAGAUAAUGAGGGUCUUUGAGUGAUGGUAAUUGGCAAGGAGAAAGACUUAAAGAUCUAUCUGGAGACCAACCCUCACACUCCAGGCACGCUGCCAGAUAAAGACUAAAAACAGCAUGUAAGAUGGCAAGAAAAAUAUGCUCCUUGGUUUCUUCAUUGCCCUAAAAGCCACUGGGAAGAGCUUCAAGAGAGAUGCCGUCCCUGAAUGGUAACACGAGACUUCCAGUUCCAUAACUCGUGUGAAAACUUUUGCCAUUACUGAAUGGGGACAAGGAAUGUCAUCUUGAACAAAGUGCCACCCUCUGGUCUAUCAACUCACCGUUCAAAAAAUUUUACAUUCAUUGCUGCUCUUAGAACCAGAUCAGUCACUCAACAAUGCCGCUUCUUUCUUUUAGACCAAGGUAAUAGAACCUCUUUAACCCUAAGGAUGACGAUUUGAUUUUUUGCACACCCACGCAAAAUUUGGGAGCACAUAAUAACCUUACAGAACAUAGCCACAGCUUCUUGCUCUGCAAAAUGUCCACCCAUUUAAUUAAGAAAGCCCAUUUGAUGUUGGGGCCCUUUGAGGGCAGAAUCUUAAAAGACGACAUGAGCCAAUCAACACUCUGUUAUUUCACUGACACUUAACAUGUUCUUUGUAGUUGUCAAGCCGUAUCUCCCCAAAUCCAAGACAGUUCAGGCAGUGAAUAAAUCAGCUAAAAGGGUUGCA
rnacentral:lncRNA from 1 species